rnacentral:rRNA from 1 species
AUUGAACGCUGGCGGCAGGCCUAACACAUGCAAGUCGAGCGAGCGGCGGACGGGUGAGUAAUGUCUGGGAAACUGCCUGAUGGGGGGGGAUAACUACUGGAAACGGUAGCUAAUACCGCAUACCAUCAGAUGUGCCCAGAUGGGAUUAGCUAGUAGGUGGGGUAAUGGUUCACCUAGGCGACGAUCCCUAGCUGGUCUGAGAGGAUGACCAGCCAAACUGGAACUGAGACACGGUCCAGACUCCAACGGGAGGAAGCAGUGGGGAAUAUUGUAAAAUGGGCGAAAGCCUGAUGCAGCGAUGCCGCGUGUGUGAAGAGGGCCUCGGGGUUGUAAAGCACUUUCAGCGGGGAGGCGUUACCCGCAGAAGAAGCACCGGCUAACUCCGUGCCAGCAGCCGCGGUAAUAC